rnacentral:tRNA from 1 species
UAAACGUUAGUUAAAUGGUAUAACUAUAGAUUGUAAAUCUAUCAUCAUGAGUUCGAUUCUUAUACGUUUAA